rnacentral:rRNA from 1 species
GACGAACGCUGGCGGCGUGCUUAACACAUGCAAGUCGAAUUGAACUUCCCUUCUUUUGUGGGGUGCUCGAGUGGCGAACGGGUGAGUAACACGUGAGUAACCUGCCCUUUACUUUGGGAUAACUUCAUGCAACUGGUUCUAAUACCGGAUAGGCGCUCCUUCUUCAUGGUUGGGGUUGGAAAGUUUCGGCGGUUGGGGAUGGACUCGCGGCUUAUCAGCUUGUUGGUGGGGUAGUGGCUUAACAAGGCUUUGACGGGUAGCCGGCCUGAGAGGGUGACCGGCCAAAUUGGGAAUGAGAUACGGCCCAGACUCCUAAGGGAGGCAGCAGUGGGGAAUAUUGCACAAUGGGCGGAAGCCUGAUGCAGAAAAGCCGCGUGCGGGAUGACGGCCUUCGGGUUGUAAACCGCUUUCGCCUGUGACGAAGCGAGAGUGACGGUAAUGGGUGAAGAAGCACCGGCUAACUACGUG